rnacentral:rRNA from 1 species
AGUGAACGCUGGCGGUAGGCCUAACACAUGCAAGUCGAACGGCAGCACAGUAAGAGCUGGCUCUUACGGGUGGAGAGUGGCGGACGGGUGAGGUAUACAUCGGAAUGUACUUCUGCGUGGGGGAUCACGUAGGGAAACUUACGCUAACACCGCAUACGACCUACGGGUGAAAGCAGGACAUCGUCGGACCUCUCGCGAUUGAAUGAGCCGAUGUCGGAUUAGCUAGUUGGCGGGGUAAAGGCCCACCAAGGCGACGAUCCGUAGCUGGUCUGAGAGGAUGAUCAGCCACACUGGAACUGAGACACGGUCCAGACUCCUACGGGAGGCAGCAGUGGGGAAUAUUGGACAAUGGGGGCAAGCCUGAUCCAGCCAUGCCGCGUAGGUGAAGGAGGCCUUCGGGUUGUAAAGCCCUUUUGUUGGGAAAGAAAAGCAGGAUGUGAAUACCGCGCGGUACUGACGGUACCCAAAGAAUAAGCACCGGCUAACUUCGUG